AGUGAACGCUGGCGGCGUGCCUAAUACAUGCAAGUCGAACGGAGUGGCGCACGGGUGAGUAAUGUAUAGCUAAUCUGCCCUACACUAGAGGACAACAGUUGGAAACGGCUGCUAAUACUCCAUAGUGUAGGAUGAGGUUAUAUUGUAUCAGCUAGUUGGUGAGGUAAUGGCUCACCAAGGCUAUGACGCAUAACUGGUUGGAGAGGAUGAUCAGUCAAACUGGAACUGAGACACGGUCCAGGCUCCUACGGGAAGCAGCAGUAGGGCAUAUUGCUCAAUGGGGGGAACCCUGAAGCGGCAACGCGGCGUGGAGGAUGACACGUUUCGGAGCGUAAACUCCUUUUGUUAGGGAAGCGGUACCUAACGAAUAAGCACCGGCUAACUCCGUGCCAGCCGCCGCGGUAAUAC
rnacentral:rRNA from 1 species